AGAAUCAACGCUGGCGGCGUGCCUAACACAUGCAAGUCGAACGAGAAAGUGGAGCAAUCCAUGAGUAAAGUGGCGACCGGGUGAGUAACACGUGACUAACCUACCUUCGAGUGGGGGAUAACAUCGGGAAACCGAUGCUAAUACCGCAUAACAUCGCAAGAUCAAAGCAGCAAUGCGCUGGAAGAGGGGGUCGCGGCUGAUUAGCUAGUUGGCGGGGUAACGCCCACCAAGGCGAAGAUCGGUAGCCGGCCUGAGAGGGCGCACGGCCACACUGGAACUGAAACACGGUCCAGACUCCUACGGGAGGCAGCAGUGGGGAAUUUUGCGCAAUGGGGGAAACCCUGACGCAGCAACGCCGCGUGGAGGAUGAAGCCCCUUGGGGUGUAAACUCCUUUCGACCAAGACGAUAAUGACGGUACUGGUGGAAGAAGCACCGGCUAACUCUGCGCCAGCAGCCGC
rnacentral:rRNA from 1 species